UGAGUAACCUGCCUUCAGCUUUGGGAUAACCCUCGGAGACGGGGGCUAAUACCGGGUAUUCAGCUUCUGCGGCAUCGUGGGGGUUAGAAAGUUUUUCGGCUGGGGAUGGGCUCGCGGCCUAUCAGCUUGUUGGUGGGGUGAUGGCCUACCAAGGCGACGACGGGUAGCCGGCCUGAGAGGGCGACCGGCCACACUGGGACUGAGACACGGCCCAGACUCCUACGGGAGGCA
rnacentral:rRNA from 1 species